rnacentral:rRNA from 1 species
GUGUCAGCAGCCGCGGUAAUACGGAGGGUGCAAGCGUUGUCCGGAUUUAUUGGGUUUAAAGGGUGCGUAGGCGGCUCAUUAAGUCUGGGGUGAAAGCCCGUUGCUCAACAACGGAACUGCCCUGGAAACUGGUGAGCUUGAGUACAGACGAGGGUGGCGGAAUGGAUGCUGUAGCGGUGAAAUGCAUAGAUAGCAUCCAGAACCCCGAUUGCGAAGGCAGCUGCCUAGACUGUAACUGACGCUGAGGCACGAAAGCGUGGGGAGCGAACAGGAUUAGAAACCCUUGUAGUCC